CACCGCGGUUAGACGAGAGGCCCCAGUGGAUAGUAUCACGGCGUAAAGGGUGGUCAAGGGCUUAAACUUGAUAAAGCUAAAUGGCCCCUCGGCCGUCAUACGCUUCUAGGUGCUAGAGACCCAACAUACGAAAGUGGCUUUAAUAAACCCCGCCUGACUCCACGAAAGCUGAGAAA
rnacentral:rRNA from 1 species